rnacentral:rRNA from 1 species
UACGAAGGGUGCAAGCGUUGUUCGGAAUUACUGGGCGUAAAGGGCGCGUAGGCGGCCUGUUAAGUCGAACGUGAAAUCCCCGGGCUCAACCCGGGAACUGCGUCCGAUACUGGCAGGCUUGAAUUCGGGAGAGGGAUGCGGAAUUCCAGGUGUAGCGGUGAAAUGCGUAGAUAUCUGGAGGAACACCGGUGGCGAAGGCGGCAUCCUGGACCGAGAUUGACGCUGAGGCGCGAAAGCCAGGGGAGCAAACGGG